AAAAAAUGGUAUUUUAAUACCAUAUUAUGGUUCUGAGAUCUUUGAUAUAGAUAAUAUUAUGUAGUUGUGAAUUUAAAAUUAAUAACUUUUAUCAGCAAUAUUGAGUUGGUAUCUUAGCACUGACUAAUAAGUAGCGAAAGUGAAAUUCGAAAUUUCAAGUUAAAACUAUGUUUGCUUUAUACGAAACGUACAAAUCUAUAGUGACGAAAAAAUAAUAUACAAUGAAAAUCGCAGUCAUUAUGUUAGUUGUAGAAAUCGAACACUGUGUUACCGUCGUUUGUCAAACGUCACCGAAUCAGAUUUGACUUGAAGAACGUUAUUUCUUGGUAUUUCGUUUUUUUUUAAAUAUUUUAACGUGUAAAAAGAAAAUGUCAUUUUUGGUGGCGGUCGUAUAUAUAAUACUACUCAACGCGUCGUACACGUAUCUGAUUCGCGAAAUGUCAAGAUUUGUCAACGUCGUUGUCGUUCGUACGUGCGUACGUGUGACAGACGACUCUGCAGCCCGAGGGAUUGAUGGACGACGACGAAUUUUUUGACGAAAUCCCUUUUGACCGUCCGCUGACGUUGUUUCUACUGCUUGACUUAUUUACAUAAUAUAUACCUUUAUGUAGUAUAUAUUAUAAUAUUAAUGUGUGGAAUCGUUAUAGGUAUACUGAUAUCUAAUAUCUGGUCAUGAAUUUAUCUAAUACCUACCAUGAGCACAAUCGGGACGCGGCGGACAUACUGGUAUUUGUAAUUUUAUAAAAUUAUGUUUAAUUAAUAUUCAAACGUGAAAAAAAAUGGUAUUAUAAUAAUAUAAUACUGUAUGAGGUCGAAUUUUAGAAACUUUUUAUAUUUUUUUAACUUAAUAAUUUAACUUUGUAUUGCACCUUUUAAUUUGGAGCUGCUAUUUUAUUUUUAUGUCAUUUUUGUUGGUCAGAUUUAAUAUCCCAGCACAGCGUAGACGCGGGUGAGCGUUAGUAAAAACGAUUUCGUUUUAAAUUAACCUAAAACUCUAAUUUCAAAUAAUGCAAUAAAAUAUAUUAUUUUGUCCUUGUGACGUUAUAUGUAACACGCAACUUUAACUGAAAGCUGGUUAACAAAUUAUUCAAAUUUUUAGAGCACACGAUUUGAUUUGAUAUUACAUUAAUAUUUCAUCGCAUGUUUUCAAUGUAAUUGCGUCAACGCGACGACACGUUUUCCGCGCAACGUGCUGGAAAAACGUAUCGAUCGAAAAAUAAAACACUUUUGGCGAAAAGUAGAGUUUCGAUAUAUGUAUUGUAUACUACUAUAUUAGUAUAUAUAUGCGUCAAUUCUAUCGUAUAACGGCCCAUUGUCGGGGAUCAGCGAAACCCGAAUAAGCGCCGAUCUUUUAUGCUCAUCCGUAAUCAGUAUAUUAUACUAAAACUGUUUGGAGGGAACAAUAAAAUACUUCUGGAUAUCCAUUUAAAACUCCGAAUUUUUAUUUAUUGUAUCGAGAAACUUUUUCAAUAAUAUAAGAUCAACGAACAUGUAUUAUAUAGCGCCGCUGCAUAUGUGCUCCGACUUCUUAACCGAGUAUCUAGCCGUCUUCAAUUUUAUUGUUUUGAAACAAUUAAGAAAUAUUAUUUAAUACGAUUGUGAUUGUUAUGAUAAAUAUCCGAACACAAGAUAUAUAAUAAAAGAGGUAAAUGUUAAUAAUUAUAUAGUACCAUGGUGGGUAUCUAUAAAUAUUUUAAUGAAGUGAAUAGAAUAAUGCAUAUAUUAAUAUUAUGAUAAUGACAACUAUGUAAAUAUAAGAGAUGAUAAUAUUUCUUACUUAAUUAUAAAUGUGUCAUACGAAUUAUACCUGGCUAUAUGGCUACACGGGACCAGCAUUUGGAGUAUGUCGUACGGUACAAUUAUUAUACUUUCUUCUGAUAAUGGUGACUAUUAUACGUAGGUACAUUUUAAAUAAUUGGGCUUAAGAUAAAAAUAAAAAAAAAAACGAUCGUCGGUGUAAAGUUCGUGUAGAAUGUUUUAAUGAAACACAAAAUACAUGGGAAUAUCGUCGUCGUCGUCACGUAGUCAUGUAGAAAAUAUGACGAGCAAUAAAUAAUAACAUGAUAUCGUGUCCGUCGACGACGACGACGACGACGAUGACGACUGUAAGUCGCCGUAACGAAAUACGCCAUGCACUACAUACGAGUACACGUACAACUACGGUCGUACAACGCACGCACAAUAUAAGAGCAGCGUUGGACUGGUUCUCGCGACCGAAAAAAAAAUUAUCUCCAAUUGAAAUAAUAAUAAAGUAAAGCGAGCUCGGCGACUGUAAAAUAUAAUAAUAAUCGUCGUAGUGAUAUUGUUAUUAAAUUGUGUACCCGGCGCGACGAGAUAACGCGCCGGGUCCAUCUAUAAUAUACGCGGUCGUACGACCAACAGAGCAGUAUUGCGCACAACGGCAUAAUAAUUGGACCGAGAUACCGCGACCGAGAUAGAGGGUCAAUUGUCGGUGGUUUUAAAACCGACGUCCGGACCGGCGGCGGCGAGACAACGGCAUUUUCUCGAGGUCGUUAUACUCUAGGGUUUAUCUCGUGCCCGGCUCUUAUUCGGACAUAGAAAAAAAAAUAUGAAACACUCACGAUAAGCUCGGCGGAUAACGUUUGCUCGCCCGACUGUAUGACAAGUGGUGUGGUACGGACGCACCACAGCAACACAAGUAGGUGCAAUUGGCGGAAAAGCACACUAAUAGUAAAUACUACAAGCUAUGGACUCAAUUAGAAGUCACAGGUUCAAUAGAUAACUACACAUUAUAAUGUACUUACAAUAAUGUACCUAUUUUUAUGAUACCAAUAUUUUUAAUUAUUCUAACAAUAAGCAAUAACUAAUAAGACUAUAAGAGAAAUAUAAAAGCACAAUUAAAAAUAUUUGGAUCAGCUCUAAAUGA